AGCAGUAGCCGCGGUAAAACGGAGGGCGCGAGCGUUACCCGGAUUUACUGGGCGUAAAGGGCGUGUAGGCGGCCUGGGGCGUCCCAUGUGAAAGGCCACGGCUCAACCGUGGAGGAGCGUGGGAUACGCUCAGGCUAGAGGGUGGGAGAGGGUGGUGGAAUUCCCGGAGUAGCGGUGAAAUGCGCAGAUACCGGGAGGAACGCCGAUGGCGAAGGCAGCCACCUGGUCCACUUCUGACGCUGAGGCGCGAAAGCGUGGGGAGCAAACCGGAUUAGAUACCCCAGUAGUCCCUGUCUCUUAUAC
rnacentral:rRNA from 1 species